UUGACUGCGAUGAUGAAGAGGAGUAUAUCAUUUUCUUUUUUUAGAGAGGGAGAUUCAAGGGCUGAAAGGUCUCCUACUUAGAAGUGGUGGAAGGUAGCUUUGGAGCUUUUGGCCUGAAAGUGGAGUAGGGUCAAACGGUUGUGCCGUUAUAACAUUUGAGAGCCGUGGGCAAGUAUGUUUUGCCUGUGGAAUUAAGGUGGUAUCGCGAAUUUGUGACCCUCGUCCUUAUU
rfam:[Clostridium] litorale DSM 5388 strain W6 CLIT_23c, whole genome shotgun sequence.